CUUCUGAACAUAGUGCGGUAUCCUUCCCAAGACAGAGAUCUGUGUGAUGAGCAGGCCUGCCCCAUGUAAGAGUGAAAGGCAGAAGCUGAAACACAAAAAUCAGUCACAGAAUCCCUUCCAAGGGAGUAAAUGGAGGAGAAACUGGAAAGGUGUGACAGAAGCCAAGAACAUAAGGAGGUGAAAGGCAGUGACUGGGAGCCAGAGAUGAGAUGCUAAACAAGGGGUGGGAGGUCUAGCCCAGAGCCAACAGGGAGAGCUUUGUGAGAGCACUUGCAGUGUCAGCAAUGAGAGCCGCUUUCUGCCUCACUGCCCCGGCCGCCGCCCAGGAAGUCAGGACUGGCUCCUGUUCGGAUCAGGCCAUUUUGCAGCCUUGCUAUUGGCCUGCGGAGCAACUUGCUACUGCCAUGGGACAAGCCUGUGUCCUGUUGGCUGGCCGGUACCUGGUGUCGAGAAUCCUCCAUUCACUAUCCAACUGGGUCAUCAAUUUUACUCUCUGACACGGCAGGCAGCUCUGGACAUCUCAGCACAUUCCAGGAGGAAAAAAAAAAAAAAGAGCUAUACACCAAAUAUUUCAUCACAGGCAGAUAAACUAUUAAUUAUCAAAGGCAAAGGUGAGCAUUAGGAAUUUCUGAAAGGAUCUGGACACCGUCACAUGAAAGGAGUUUCAGGGAAGCCGGCGGCAGAUUCCAGCAUCUCACUACCCUCUAACCAAGAACUUGGCACUAGAUUCUUCUACGUGAGCCUACGUACCGAGAGGCUUUGUGCUGGCUUAUUCAGAAAAGUAAUAAACCGACACGCCGACCAAGCAAGAAACAAACUACACCAAACACCAGGACAUCAGUGGCAUAACCAAACAGAUUUCACGUGACCUCGCAGGGCCAUCCACACAGACGAGAAUGAGAAUACAGGCCCUUGGAGUUGUGCCCAGGCAUUUUCAAAGUGUGCAGAGUAGAAGAAGCACGAAUGGGAGGAGCCGACGGACUUGAGCCCAAGGAAAUGUUCACAUAUGAUCUGGUGACUGGUCUGACAGACCAGAUGUCAUAAGACUCGAGUUAUUUUCCAGUUGCUGUGGGACCAGUGACAAGUCAUACCACCCUGCCUUUCACAAUAUUUCAAAACAUGUGUCACGCAGCUCUUUAAACCAGUUUACCGGCUUCAUCAUUUCUUCCUACUAAUCCACAUCACACAUGACCUACUAAAGGGCAGUGAAUUCUAAGAGGACAACACCAGAAAAGGAAAACAGUGAGUACAUGAAACCCAGGAAAAAGCCAUCACUAUUCUCAUAAACUUAAAAGUGAAUUUAAAAUACAACAAGCACUAAUAAUCAUUGAUUAAUAAGCCACAGGAAUUGAAUAAUAACCGAAGUUGCGCAGGCAGCAUUAAAAUCUAGGUAGUAAACACAUGGUUCCCAAACUUGUAUUUUUAUUAUUUUCCUCUGUGAGAGAGGGUGCACAUAUGCGCAAGCGGGGUGGGCAGGGGACAGAGGGAGAGGGAAAGAGAAUGUUAAGCGGCUCCACCCUCAGGCUCCACCCCCAGGGCCGAGCCCAAAAGUCGGGGCUUGAUCUCACGCCCCUUGAGUCGUGACCUGAGUCAAAACUUAGAGUUGGGCUCUCAACCAACUGAGCCACCCAGCCCACCCCAUCCUUUUUUAAAUUAUAGCACAAACACCAGAUUUGGGGAAAGCAGUUGAGAUUAAGACUCAAGAAACCACUGAAUGACAAUAAAGGCAACAUAAUUCUACUUGCAUAUAACUAAACCCCAUGUUGCCUACAAAGAUCGCACGGCUGAUUGCACCACUGUGAUUCAACAUAAUCAUUCACCCUUAGGCACUCGGAUUGUGUUUGAAGAAAACAGUUCAUGCCCUUGUAGCACUCAAAGACAUAAUCCAAAAGUUAAGUCAUCUCUUGCCUGCAUAUUUUUCUUCGGUGAGGGUUUGAUUUAUAUGAAUCCAUCUUAUUUGUAGUAAAUUAUAUCUAAUCUGCACCAUGUUCCGCAAACAACUCAGAUCAAAUUCUGUCUGAUAAACAUUGCCUGUUGGCCGUACUCAGCUGUAGUAAGAUAAAUUUUACACGUUGAUCGAAAUUGGGCAGCCUAUUUACUGGUAGAGCAGAAUGUCAUGACCUACCAGUUCAGAAGAAUGAUGGAAUCCCUCACUCCCUAUUCCAUCCGUAUUCUAUCAUUAUCAAGCACACUAUUCUACUGUAAGUAAAAGACCAGAUUAAAUUUGAACAGUGUGGACGAAGGGCAGGAAAUAUGGUUUCAAAAAUAAAUUGAAGUAAAAUCAUGAAGGGUCUUAAAUAAUAUUAAAAUGUGUUAAACAAGUACAAAGAAGCCAUUAAUUAAAGAAUUUAAUCAUUCAACGGUA